GCCCUGGUGGUCUAGUGGUUAAGAUUUGGCGCUCUCACAGCCGUAGCCUGGGUUCGUUCCCCGGUCAGGGUA
rfam:Equus caballus chromosome 17, whole genome shotgun sequence.